GGGGCCGUAGGCUAGUGGCAGGCUUCCGGGUUCGGGUCCCGGAGAUCGGGGUUCAAAUCCCCGCGGCCCCA
rnacentral:tRNA from 2 species